GACGAACCGUGCGAACGUUGUUCGGAAUCACUGGGCUUAAAGGGCGCGUAGGCGGGAUGGCAAGUCAGUCGUGAAAUCUCUCGGCUCAACCGAGAAACGUCGGCUGAUACUGCCGUUCUUGAGGGAUGCAGAGGAGACUGGAAUUCCCGGUGUAGCGGUGAAAUGUGUAGAGAUCGGGAGGAACACCGGUGGCGAAGGCGGGUCUCUGGGCAUUUCCUGACGCUGAGGCGCGAAAGCGUGGGGAGCAAACGGG
rnacentral:rRNA from 1 species